GAUGAACGCUGGCGGCGUGCUUAACACAUGCAAGUCGAACGGAAAGGCCAGCGCUUGCACUGGUACUCGAGUGGCGAACGGGUGAGUAACACGUGGGUGAUCUGCCCUGCACUUCGGGAUAAGCUUGGGAAACUGGGUCUAAUACCGGAUAGGACCACUUCGUUGUUGUUGUGGUGGAAAGUUUUUUCGGUGUGGGAUGAGCUCGCGGCCUAUCAGCUUGUUGGUGGGGUAAUGGCCUACCAAGGCGUCGACGGGUAGCCGGCCUGAGAGGGUGUACGGCCACAUUGGGACUGAGAUACGGCCCAGACUCCUACGGGAGGCAGCAGUGGGGAAUAUUGCACAAUGGGCGGAAGCCUGAUGCAGCGACGCCGCGUGGGGGAUGACGGCCUUCGGGUUGUAAACUCCUUUCGCCAAAGACGAAUUUUGACGGUAUUUGGAGAAGAAGCACCGGCUAACUACGUGCCAGCAGCCGCGGUAAUACGUAGGGUGCGAGCGUUGUCCGGAAUUACUGGGCGUAAAGAGCUCGUAGGUGGUUUGUCGCGUCGUUUGUGUAAGCCCAUGGCUUAACUGUGGGACUGCAGGCGAUACGGGCAUAACUUGAGUGCUGUAGGGGAGACUGGAAUUCCUGGUGUAGCGGUGAAAUGCGCAGAUAUCAGGAGGAACACCGAUGGCGAAGGCAGGUCUCUGGGCAGUUACUGACGCUGAGGAGCGAAAGCAUGGGGAGCGAACAGGAUUAGAUACCCUGGUAGUCCAUGCCGUAAACGGUGGGCGCUAGGUGUGAGUCCUUUCCACGGGGUUCGUGCCGUAGCUAACGCAUUAAGCGCCCCGCCUGGGGAGUACGGCCGCAAGGCUAAAACUCAAAGGAAUUGACGGGGGCCCGCACAAGCGGCGGAGCAUGUGGAUUAAUUCGAUGCAACGCGAAGAACCUUACCUGGGCUUGACAUACACCGGAUCGCUGCAGAGAUGUAGUUUCCCUUGUGGCUGGUGUACAGGUGGUGCAUGGUUGUCGUCAGCUCGUGUCGUGAGAUGUUGGGUUAAGUCCCGCAACGAGCGCAACCCUUGUCUUAUGUUGCCAGCAUUUGGUUGGGGACUCAUGAGAGACUGCCGGGGUUAACUCGGAGGAAGGUGGGGAUGACGUCAAAUCAUCAUGCCCCUUAUGUCCAGGGCUUCACAUAUGCUACAAUGGUCGGUACAACGCGCAGCGAGCCUGUGAGGGUGAGCGAAUCGCUGAAAGCCGGUCGUAGUUCGGAUUGGGGUCUGCAACUCGACCCCAUGAAGUCGGAGUCGCUAGUAAUCGCAGAUCAGCAACGCUGCGGUGAAUACGUUCCCGGGCCU
rnacentral:rRNA from 1 species